rnacentral:rRNA from 1 species
GAUGAACGCUGGCGGCGUGCUUAACACAUGCAAGUCGAACGGAAAGGCUCCUGCUUGCAGGGGUACUCGAGUGGCGAACGGGUGUGUAACACGUGGGUGAUCUGCCCUGCACUUCGGGAUAAGCCUGGGAAACUGGGUCUUAUACCGGAUAGGACGAUGUUUUGGAUGCCAUUGUGGAAAGUUUUUUCGGUGUGGGAUGAGCUCGCGGCCUAUCAGCUUGUUGGUGGGGUAAUGGCCUACCAAGGCGUCGACGGGUAGCCGGCCUGAGAGGGUGUACGGCCACAUUGGGACUGAGAUACGGCCCAGACUCCUACGGGAGGCAGCAGUGGGGAAUAUUGCACAAUGGGCGCAAGCCUGAUGCAGCGACGCCGCGUGGGGGAUGACGGCCUUCGGGUUGUAAACUCCUUUCGCUAGGGACGAAGCGCAAGUGACGGUACCUGGAGAAGAAGCACCGGCUAACUACGUG